rnacentral:lncRNA from 1 species
GCCUCGCGUUUUCUAGAAAAUAAGAUGUAGAGCUAUGGGUAAACCUGGGACUCUCCCAAACUAUCCUCCCUCCUUCGUCCCUCCCCAGCAACCAGUCCGACCCCCUCUGCGGCCUGCCCGCUGAACGCCAGUGGCCAUCUAGCCAUGAGCUCCGCCCCCAGUUCUGUGACUCCGCCUCCACAGAGCAGCUUAAGCCCCACUCCUCCUGGCCUGAGUAGCCCUGGCCUCAGCACAGGGAGCACAAUGAUGGGAGUAAGCACAGGGAUGAACCACGCCCUCAUCAGCAGCAACCCCCUGGCUACGAUGCAAGCCUUGGCUGCCAGUGGUGGACAGAUCCCACGUUCUGCUCUUGAGGCCAGAGGUCAGGUGAUCCUGGGCGGGGGCGCCCUGCGCCCUUCCCUGUUCCUCAACCGGCCCACCCUCCUGCCCAUGGCCACAGGGGUUGGCAUGGGACUGGUCACCACCGGCCGAGUAUCCCCGCCUCCAAGCUCUGGAGCCAUGAGCCCCGACUCCUGCUCCGCCUCUCCCUGCUCGAGCCCCGCCUCCUUCUGCUCCUUCAGCGAAGCCUCGCCCCCUCCUUUGGGAGGAACCAUAGCUGAGUGAUGUUCAACAUGCCCUAUCACUUUAUGCGUAGGAGGAGGAGAAGGAGGAGUCAAGUAACACAAAGAAAAUCCUCACCUUUUCAACCAAAGCCAUCUCUCACUCCCUCUGUUUCUCACUUUUGCUCUCUCUCUCGCAGAGUCUUUCCAUGCCAAAAAAUACAGAUUGAAAGAGAGAGAAGGAGAGAGCAAGGGAGAGUGGAGAGGAGGAGAGAACUAAAGAAUGGGGGGAGUUUUAAACCAAAAAAGAUCCAUCUAUUCAGUGUGGAGAGGUGGCACUGUGGAGAUUUUUGUUGUCUGUGAAUGAUAAUGUACAUUUUUCUCUCGGAACAAAAAGACUUUUCUUUAAAAUGGAUGGAUGGAUAAAAAGAGGGCAGGGACAAAACACCAAAAUGUGACUGAAAGAUGAGUGGCAUGGAAAAAAGCGAAGAAUGGAAGUUUAAACCAAAAAUAAAAAAACUGGAAAACAUAAAGGACUAUAAAAA